GCCGGCUUAGCUCAGCGGUAGAGCAGCGGUUUUGUAAACCGAAGGUCGGGGGGUUCAAUCCCCUCAGCCGGCA
rnacentral:tRNA from 1 species